GUCGAGCGCUUACCUUCGGGUAGGAGCGGCGGACGGGUUAGUAACGCGUGGGAAUAUGCCCUUCUCUACGGAAUAGCCUCGGGAAACUGAGAGUAAUACCGUAUACGCCCUUCGGGGGAAAGAUUUAUCGGAGAAGGAUUAGCCCGCGUAAGAUUAGAUAGUUGGUGGGGUAAUGGCCUACCAAGUCUACGAUCUUUAGCUGGUUUGAGAGGAUGAUCAGCAACACUGGGACUGAGACACGGCCCAGACUCCUACGGGAGGCAGCAGUGGGGAAUCUUAGACAAUGGGCGCAAGCCUGAUCUAGCCAUGCCGCGUGAGUGACGAAGGUCUUAGGAUCGUAAAGCUCUUUCGCCAGAGAUGAUAAUGACAGUAUCUGGUAAAGAAACCCCGGCUAACUCCGUGCCAGCAGCCGCGGUAAUACGGAGGGGGUUAGCGUUGUUCGGAAUUACUGGGCGUAAAGCGCACGUAGGCGGAUUGGAAAGUAGGGGGUGAAAUCCCAGGGCUCAACCCUGGAACUGCCUCCUAAACUAUCAGUCUAGAGUUCGAGAGAGGUGAGUGGAAUUCCAAGUGUAGAGGUGAAAUUCGUAGAUAUUUGGAGGAACACCAGUGGCGAAGGCGGCUCACUGGCUCGAUACUGGACGCUGAGGUGCGAAAGCAUGGGGAGCAAACAGGAUUAGAUACCCUGGUAGUCCAUGCCGUAAACGAUGAAUGCCAGUCGUCGGGGAGCUUGCUCUUCGGUGAC
rnacentral:rRNA from 1 species